rnacentral:lncRNA from 1 species
UGCCUGGGCUUGUUCCACGCUCCCCUGGCUAGACAGGCAUCUACACAUUCUCAGUUAGGGGCUGGACAGGGGCAGCUGCUAGACAGGCCCUAUUCUGGGCCUCUCUGAAAAGAAGAGUCCCUGAAAAGAAAGGGAGCCUCCCGCUUCCGUGGCCCCUUAGCCAUGCCAAGGGGCAGCAACCGGCUUUCUGCUGAUGCUGAUGAGCUGUGGUGUGAACUCACGAAGGCUGCUCAGGACCGAGGCUGAGACGGGCGACCAGGACGGGACUGUAUGGCUGCAGGAGGCUACACAGCCUCAGGAGGCUGCUUCUAAGAGGCCCACGUCGCCUGCAUGGGGACGCGCCUGGCUCUCCAGCAUGUGGUCAUUUGAAUUGUACAUGUUUCACUAGGAUGCCUACAGAAAAGUAUACAGAAGAUCUGGAAAAAGUUUUUGAAAUGUUGAAAACUUAGCUACUUUUAAAAUGAAAAAAAUAGCUUUAUAAUUAUCAAAGCAAUAUAUCCCAGUGUAAAUUUUAAAAUAAUUUGCUACAUUAUAGUAAGCAUCUUAUCUCUAUGUGCCCUAUAACAUUAUGUUGUAUAGUUUAAAUAUAUACAAUAAAAUUUAUUUUAAAAAAUAGC